UACUGAACUGAAAAAAAAAAAAAAAAAAAACGAACUGUGGCCCUCAAAACCAAAAACGUACUGAACUGAAAAUUCUGUGUACCGUUACAGGCCUAUCAGUGAACCAACCAUUUAUAAACAGCCACACUGAUGAACUGUUUCAGACCAGUGCCUGCAUCCUUCAAACAUGAAUCUCACACUGUUGAUUUUGCUGUUCUGUGGCUUAACUGUGGCCCAGGAUGUUCAUGAAAAUGUCACAGAAAAGACUGAAACACAACCUUUUUUCCCAUCUGAUAUGUGUGAUCUCCAGAGAAAGAUUGGUGCCAUGAAAGAACAACUGGCAGCUUUGGCAAACAGACAGAACAACAGCGAGAAACGGAUUGAAGACCUGGAAAGGAAAGUGAUUUUCAGUGCAGCUACAGAUGGAAGUGGAGCGGUCGGACCCUUCAACACAGACACAAUCUUAGUAUACAAACUGUGAUGACGAACAUCGGCGAUGCCUACAACCAAACCACAGGUGUGUUUACUACCUCCGUUUCAGGCACUUACUACUUUACCUUCUUUUACCAUGCGGGAAGAGACACCCAGCAACUCUACGUCUCUACAAAAAUGAGCAGCUUGUUGCACGAAGCCAUGAUCACAAAGGGGGGGAUGAUGGGGCUGAUAAUGGAGGCAAUGCAGUAAUUCUACAGCUGCAAAAAGGGGACCGUGUUUGUGCGCUUGCUUGCACACACACACAUUUGGGCAAAGAAUCACAUUACUACCUUCAGUGGUUUCUGAUUCGUUAAGUUUAACCCAUAAAGACCCAGAGUUACUUUUGUGGCACUUCCUAAAUUACCUUUUCUCUUUAUUUGACCUUUCUUAAGUGAUUUAACACAAAUUAUUUUAAUAUUGUUCUCUAGAAGAGAGCAGACAGGUUUCUGAGCUGUUCUGCUGUUUCUGCCUCCCCCACUCUGCUUCCUACUGAUUUGCCCUUGCAGUUGUCUCAGCUGACUUACUUUAACUUUUGAAUCCCUUGCUUGCUGAGCUCUCGAACAGCGAAUAUGGAAUCGAUCAGCUGGUCACUCAGCACAAUUGACAAGAUUUUUUCACCCAGGAAGAUGGGCUCUGGGGAGCCCGCCUGCCCUCACAGAACUUUGGCAGCCGGAUACACCAUUGACGCUUGGGACAAGUGGAGAGUGGUGUGUCUGUCGGUUCUGUCAGUGGAGGAUAUCCAAGAGAUCUAGUUAUUUGGAUUUAUGGUAGCGGGACACCUUCUAAUUCAGUGGUUCCCAACCUUUUUUGGCUCGUGACCCCAUUUUAACAUCACAAAUUUCAGGCGACCCCAGACA